rnacentral:lncRNA from 1 species
GAUCGUUGGAGGGAGCUCGAGUUGGUUAAGAAACAGAUUGGGAGUAGAGAAAAUGAGCUUGAUAAGAAAGAGGAAAAGUUGGAGAGUUUAGAGAAGGAGAUUGAGUUGAGGGAAAAGGUUUUGGAUUCAAAACAGGGGAUGCUUGAAGCUAGAGAAAGUGAGCUUGAGGCUAGGAAAAGGUUUUGGAGUUACAGAAGGAGCUUGUCAUGAAACAGAGAGAGCUUGACUCUGCUCAGAAAAGCAAGGAAUGUUGUUCUAAUAAACCGGCUUCAAUAAAUCCAACACCAUCCUCGGAAAGGACAAAGAAAAGAAGAAAAAGUGAAGACAAGGGCGCAUAUGAGAAUGACUCUGAACAACAUGCUGUCAUUGAUCUGGUUGGAUCAGACUCUGGUGAUUCAGGUCGUUCAGGUUCGGGAUGUGAUCUAAAUGAGUCCCAUUCAGUGUCAGAAUCCGAUUCAGCUUAUUCGGGUUCAGCAUGUGAUCUCGGUGAGGCAGGUUUAGGCUUGGCCAAUUCAAACUCAGAUUCGUACUCAGCUUCUUGUGAUUCUUCAGGUUUUGAAAACUCAAGUCCUAUUUAUCAUUCAAACAAAUUGUUUAAUGACUUCAGAAGAACAUACACCUUAAGCAGCUUUCGUGUUGGUCAAAUUUGGGCUUGUUCUUAUCAUAGUAGUAAUGAUAAGAUACAAAAAUUAUAUGCAAGGAUCCUGAAGGUGCGUGAUCCUAUUGUUCGUGUUGCAUGGCUCCAGCCUGUGGCACAUUAUCCACGUGCAAUGCCGUAUAAGAGGUCCAAAAGUGUGAAGUUACCUGCUACAAAGCAGGGUUGGAAGGAGUGGAUAGAUGCUGGCUUACCAGCUGGUUGUGGUGGAUUUAUGUGUGGUGAAGAAGAGGCCUUGUCAUUAUCUCGUUGUAACUUUUCGCAUCAAGUUUGCUACAAAGAGACUGUUACUUCUUGGCAUCUUGUUAGUCCUUACUUAAUUCAUCCUCAAGAGGGAGAGACUUGGGCCCUCUAUAAGGAUUGGAAUACUAAUUGCAGGGCUUCUGAACCUGAUAAUCAUUUACGCUGCCAGUAUGAGAUAGUUGAGAUUGUCCAGAGAAAUUCUUUUGACACUAGAGUUGCUUACUUGGAUAAAUUGGAAGGAUAUGCAAGUUUAUAUCACAGAAGAAGCCAUGAUAAGGAGGAUAUUUUUGUGAUACACGAUGAAGAAUUCUUUAGGUUCUCCCACAAAGUACUUUCUUUUAGGAUGAGCAGCUAUAAAAGGGAAGGUGUACCAGAGGGAUGUUUUGAACUUGAUCCCAAGUCGCUGCCUGCAGUUUUUUGAUGAACUUUGCAACAUUCAGGUAUAAAAGUUAUGAUGUCCAUUUCAGUGUGUUUAUGUAAAUUUUUCCAUUUUGCAAUUUUCAGUUACUCCAUUUGAGCUGCAGUGUGGAGAGGCUUUUUUUACUGGAUUGCAAAGGUUAAUCUGUGAAUUCAUUGCUAAUUUAUUUGGCAAAAAUAAAGAAUUCUCUGUAAUAUGGCAUGCAGCUUGACACCAGUACCAGCCAGUCAAAUGUAAUAUUUACAAGUAAUAAUUUUCAUCAUUAAAUAAAACUUGUUAAGCUUGAAUUUGAUGAGUAUCAUCUACCAUGCACUAAGAAUUAAAAUGGGUAUAGGUAUAGAACUGUUGCGUAAUGUUCCUAAAGUGGCAUUGAUAAAAAUUCUGGAUAAUAUUUGUACUUCUUUCUAUCCUUCUAACAGAUUGCAUCAUAGUGUUUUGGUAUAGAAUAAAAUAUUUUUGAGCCCCAAGGGACUGGUGGUUGAGAGAAACUCUUGCAAUACCACAACACUGCUGGUUGUAAUUGCCGUACAAUCUCCCACUAGAAAAAUAGAAGGAUGGAACAAAACAAUGAUUUUCCAUUUUUUGAAACAUCCAAAACAAGCCUUAGCAAGGAUUUCUAUUACGGUCUUCACCUCUCAAUUCACUGUUUAGUUAGCUCUCUCUCUCUCUCUCUCUCUCCCUCCCUCCCUCCCUCACACACACAUGCGCACAAUCAAAUGAUCAUUGAAGCUACUCUGUCCUUGUUUUGUGGCAAUGCUUGUUGAGAAUUAUAUCAGUUGAUAAAUUGGAUGUUUUCCUAUUUUGCAAUUGAAUUGCAUGAUGUAGGUUAGUUGCUGGAUGAAUUAUGAACCAUGUGAAGUUCCGGCUCUAUUGCAGUUACUCUUAAGUUUCUUUUACAAUUCACUGCAUCGUUUUUGUAAUUUUCUACUCUGUUAGGUUUUUCUAAAGCAAAUACUUGAAUGAUGGUCUUCCUGUGCUGGAUUAGAAGUUCUUAUGCAGUCCAGUUAUUGAAAACAAUGCCAGUUUCUAGCCUACUGUCUGUGCAACCUGAAUGGAGCUACAUUACAUUUGUGCCAAAGUUCAAUUUCAGUAGUGAUUGCUUCAAGUUCUUUCUGUAUGAAUCCUGUCCUUUUGUCUCUUCUUGUCAAAGUUUAUAGUCCUUGAGUCACCAAAACUUUCUCUGGACUACACCGUCUCUUGCUGCAAAAUGCAGAAUCAAGAUUGCUUCCCACAAUUGGGAAAUUUAAUUCUGUUCUCCUUGUCAAUGUCCACUCUUGUUGCUCUUUUGGUACUAAUUUAGAUCCAUUCAUACUUGUCUUUCCCAUUCCAAGUUCCACUUAGCUCUUGCUGUAAUGCUUUGAUGGCCUUGCUUAGCAUGAGGAAAAAUUCUCAAAGACAUGACUCAGGUCCACGAUUUCUUGAUCUUAUCAAUACUCACAAGUGGCAUUUUAUUAUCUUUACUAGGUGGAGGUUGUACAAGUAUGCUUUUUGUGUCGGUUUUGUUGGAAUUACUAAAUUUAUUAGUUUGUUGACACGUGGGAUGCACCCAUUCCAUAAAUUUGUUCACUGAUGCUUAAUUCUUUACAGCUUCUAGCUUGACAUAUUUUACAGAGAAUAAGUUUUUGAAACUUUUGCCACUCUUCUGAUUGUAUCUGUCAUGAAACAUACUAUAAAAAUCUCACCAUGCAUGGUGUUGCCAACUCUUAUUAUGUUGCUGCACUCUUUAGAAAGGAGAAUUAAGAAAUUUAUAUUUAGCACUACUAAGUAAUCUUUUGUGGAUUCAAAGUGUUUCUGAGCUAAGAAUGAUGGAUUCAUAUGGCUAUUUUUGGUAUUUUGUGUGUAGAUCUAGAAGCCAGAUGUCAACCGUAGUCAUAAUUAAUCUGCAAGAAACUUUUCAAUGUUCAAGCACCUGCUAUCAUCCAGGUCAAGAGUGUGGACAAAUUUGCUGGUACCUAAUAGAAUUAUACAGAUAAUUCUGGUACUUGGAUAUGUUUACAUUGCCGGGUGUGUCAAGUUAGAUAUCCCUGUUAGCUAGCCUUUGCGGCUAUUUCUAUGCCUGUUUAGCAUAACAUGCAGGUGCAUGGUCUUCUGCAUCCACAUGAGAUAAAGCUGAGCCUAAAUGAGACAAAGCCUGCCCGAUGCGCUACUCUCAUCAUGAGUGGUGAUGUGUAUCUUUUUUCUUUUUUUUUUUAAUCUGGUGCAAUGGUGAUGUGUCUAAAUUUUUUCUUUUUAUAAUUUUCUAGUAGCUAAAGAAAGCUAUCUGCUUCAAAACAAUCGAGUUAUCAGGAUUUUCCACCUUUUAAGGUUGUAGAUAUUUCCACAUAAAAUGUUUCGCUUGUUCAGUUGAUAUGAGUUGUGGCUUUUUUACACUGACAUCCAUCAGCAUCAGUUGGCUUACUUCUUGAAGUUCAACUUGUCUGACUCAAGCGAACCUGAUGUAUAAAUAUGUCAGUUUCUUUGGUUAGAUCUUUCACUUUCCAAGACUAAUAUUGAUGAUUCUCUCUGUCUAUCUCUCAAGUUUACUUCUCAAAGAGUAUGACAUUGAGUUCAGGAUUACUCUUUUAGGUAAUUGGUAUUCUAAUCAAAGACUUGUUAGGAUACUGUAAUGUACUUGGUUCAAUAGGAGAAAAAAAAAAAUUCCUAGAUAGAAGCUGAGUGCUCUAUCCUUGAAACGGUAACAUGAGUAAAUGACUCGUAUGUGUAGUGUUGAUCUAAUGCAAGCAUGGGUACCACACACCCCCCCGCACCCCACCAUAACACCCAAAAAAAAAAAAAAAAACUGUGAGAUGGGUGGAAUUUAAGAAACGGAGAGGAGAAAGGGAGAUUGGAAUCAGGGCCUUUAAUUCCUAGAGUCUCAAUUUUAACGACUAGAUAAUGCAAGCAUGUUAGCAUUGCUAUCAAAACGCAAAUUUUGAGAACCCGUUUUGAUCUUCGCUACAAGAGUUAUUCUAGUACAUCAGUCAUCAGCCAACAGUUCCUGUCACCAGCUCCAAAAUUUAGAAGUUGCAAGCUCUAGUUGUAGCUCUGUGUGCCCAGAAUAAUUGUCUAGUGGACCAGUGGCGGAUUUACACUGGGGGCGCGAGCCCCCACUGGCCCCCUUAAAUUUAUAAGAUAUCUAUAAAAAUUUGAUGUAAUUUCACCUGUGCCCUCUGAAGUUUUGUAUAUCUAUUGGUUUAUAGGUCCCCACUGCCCCCCUUAAAUUUCUAUAAUACCUAUAAAAAUUUGAUGUAAUUUCAAGUGUGUCCUCUGGAGUUUUGUGUAUAUAUUAGUUUAUAUGCUUUUAAAGUUGUCUUUGAUUUUACCUGUUAUUACAGCUACUGUAGAAAUGGUUUUUUCAAUAAUGAAUAUAGUUAAGAAUCGGUUACAAAAUAGAAUGGAAGACACUUGGAUGAAUAAUUAUUUAGUUACUUAUAUUAAAAAAAUAUACUUCGUAAAGUUCAAAAUAAAAAGGUUGUAAACCGUUAUCAAAAUAUGAAAACUCGUUAUGAGCAAUUAUAAAUAGUUUAGUUUGCUUUUGAAAUACAAUUAUUAUUACAUUAAUAAUUUUGAGUUUGUCUUUUGAUAUUUUUCAUGAAAUAUAUGCAUCAUUUGUACUUGUUGAUAAAUAUUUUUUUUCCUUAAAAAACUAAAAAAAGAGUAGAUAAAAAAUUUUAGAGUUGCUUCUGCUUCCGCUGAAAAUUUUUUCUGGCUCCGCCACUAUAGUGGACGGCAAUCAUGUAAACCUGAUGAAGGUUCUCCUAUGUUGAUGUUAUCAUAUAAAUCAGCCUUCUUAAUAGUUAAGUAUUAUUAUACUAUGAUGUACAAUGCUGUUAUUAAGGGUUAAGUAUGUCGAUCAAGACAAGUAUAUACACACAGCAUGAGGGAUUACGGCGAUGGGCCAUUUUGUGAUCUAUCUGUUUUUAGUACUCUUAUUACAAAAUGGUCCAAGUAUAUUAAAAAAGUUAUGUACAACUUUUAGUUUUAGAAUUUGAAAUUAAGUUGAUAACUACCCAAAUAACUAAUCAUCUUUACAUUUUAAUUUUCCCCAAUCAUCAUCAUUGUCAAUCGACAUAUUUGGACAUAAAAGAUUAAAAAAAAAAGAACAAAGACGUGUGAAUUCUUCAUCAGUGUCAAUCGAGAAACAGAUAAUGAGAAUAAUCCCCAAUCAUCAUCUUUCAACACAUUUGAAUAAACAGGCAGACUAAUAGUAUCAUUAAUGGGUUCGGUUCCAAUAGAAGGGGUAGUUUUUUUUUCUUCUUUUUGGUGAAACUCAAGAAAGAAGAACAAAAGACUCGAAUUAAUGGGUGGACGUGGACAGAGAAACUUUAUCUUUUCUUAGGCCGGACAAGGAUCUCACUCACCUACAUCAUUCAAAGCAUAUGUCAUUUGUACCCUCAAAAAAAAAAAAAAAAAAAAAAAAAAAUGUGUCAUUUCCAAAAGAAGGAAAAUCCUGGUAUUAAAAGCUGUAGAAUCUUCAUUUAAAGUUGCAUUCUUCUUCAUGGGUCGCUACCACUAGUUAAAAUAGUACCUCUACUAUUUAGUAAUGGGGGGCUGGUAAUUUUGAUGCUUAUCAGGUAUUGAGAACGAUGGAAAACUAGAAUUAAUACUAAGUGAAGAUUGCAAGACUUAUUUUUUUUUACCACAUACUAGUGGUAUGGAAUUUAUCUGGUUUAGAGUAAACAUUAAAGAAUAAGGAUUAAAAGUAUAAAAUCAUUAUCUUAUCUUAUUCUUUACUACGUAUUACUAAGUUUUGAUAGCCACUAUGUACGCCUUCAAGAUUUUUCUUUUUUGGGUAAGAAAUAUAAAAGUUUAUUAUGAUAAUUGAAAAUUAGCCAUUAGAAUAAGAUCUACAAAUGAAGGAGCAUAUGCUCCCAAAUAGAUUAAUGAUUGCCAGCAUUGGGCAUAUAUCUAGCGAAAGAGUGAGUUACAAUUUUACGAAUUACAAUAUUUACCCAGUCACUUUAAAACGUGAGAGAGUCAAUUCUGCCAACAUUAGAUUGCAGAUCUUCAAGUAUUGGACCUGCAGUAGAGUGACAAGUGAAACACAAAACGAGUUCAAGAUUAAUGCUACUAUCUUUUUCCCUUAAUUAACGAUCCAAAUAUAAUUAAAAUUUCAAAAGUUUAUCUCAAACAAAAAAGCAAUUUCAAAAACGCAUUUUGUCAAAACGAUAGAAAAGAAUUUCCAAAAGUCAAGAGGUGGACGAUCUUUUGAUUUGUAUAUGUCGUAUAUCGCUUUGAGUAGAAUUUUCUGAAUUUUAAUACAUUUUACAGGUGGAUGAAACUACUGUAAUUGUCGUACGUUGAGUUAGUCAAAUGUCAUCAUAUUAAAGAUGGAAUCCAAUAAAGCGGCUACACCAAAAUAAUUUUGCAAUACGGAGAAUUGAAACAAAAGAAAAAGUUAUUGUGGGCUCAUUAAAAUUUUUGAGACGAGCACAUAGAGGAUGUGUACUUUUAUUCAUCCCAUUCUAUCAAACAAUUAAUGUAGUUGGAGUCCAUGUAAAGAUCCUUUACUCCUCUAUCCAACCAAGAGUACAUGGAACCCCUGCAGAAAAUAACUAUGGUAACAUUUAGUAUAUAUCAAUUAUUCAUAAUUAAUCUCAAGUUGUGAAUGCCUUCAUACAAAGCAUGGAACGUAGUAGAUCAUUUACGUGCAUGCAUGGGCAGCACUCAGCAGUCGUGCCUGCAGACGCACAAGACUCUGCCAACUCCGGGGGCUUUUUUGCAGAGUGCCUGGGGAUGAAGGUUACUGAAGUAGGUGUUGCACAAUGAGAGACAACACAGAGCAUCGCAGGUUGCGUCGCAUACACCUACACCAUCUGUGCAUCUUUAAGGCGGGAUGAUUGGGGUUGAUCCUUGAGCCAUCACCAUCUAGUUGUUGCCACCUUGCAUGCAUUAAUUAAUAAUAUCAAUAUUUAUCACCACAUGAAAUUAUUAUGGCACAAAAAUGCAUGUAAGCCAACUUUUCAGUGAUGCAUAUACUAUUAGUAUUAGACAAGAAAAAAUGGGCAUGGAAAAAAAUAUAAAAAUUUAAGUUCGAAAUAUUUAAUUAUCACUGAAAAAAAGAAUUGUUUUCAAGAAAUAGUUGUAAUAUACUUAUUAAGUUGUGUUGAUAUGACUCGUGAAAUUUUACCUGAUGCAAAAAAGGAGAACAAGGAUAACGCAGCAGAUUGCUCUUGCAAUGGCCAUCUUUCCCAGGAUGAGGCCUAGGUUGGCUGGCAAGUGCCUAGGAUUUUCAAUUGUUCGAUCCUGCUAUAUGUGCUGCAAAUCUUAGAGGAAGCUAUUCAUACUAGCUGUAAAUUUUCCUCGCGAACCAAACAAAUAAAUAAGGUAGGUAAUUUAGUGAGGCCAAUGUAUACAGCUGUGGAUUUUAAUAAAUAGCUGAUACGUUCAGCUGAUAUUUCUGCAUCUUUUCAAUGAGAUAUUGAAACAGGGACACCAUUUAGCAGCAAUGAAGCCGUGUUCAGUGGACAAGCAUUAUCUUAGAAGAUUGUGUUACAAUUGCUACUAUUUUUUCUUACUUCAACAUAAAAGGGCAAAAAACCUUAAUGACUACUGAACACUAUUGUUCGGAUCAUGUUUUGGACAUCAAACUAUUUUUCGUCAAUAAUUGAUCACUAAAUAACUUAAUCAGUAAACUUGUGACCAUUUAAUCGAUAAUUGCUUAUAAUAUGUGAAAUUAGCGAUUAAUCCGUGAAGGCAUAAAUUUGUGUAGCCUCGGUCUACGGCCCCAACUAUAGACCAUGCGGUAUACAAUUUGCCACAUCAUCAAUAAUACGAAUCAAAACUAUCAUAUACCAGACUUCUAGCCCUGUUCAUUGCUCAGCUUCAGUUCUCUUCGUCUUCUGCUUAACAGUGGUCGGUGGCUUUACCAGAAUUGGAUCUCUCAAUUUUCCUCCCAUUUGUUUUUUGUUUUUUGUUUUUCCUCUUUCUAUUUGUUCUUUCCCAAAUACUGGUACUAGUACAUAUCAGAAUUGAGUGGCAACAAAACACCUCGUCUAGGUUAUGGUUUCUUUUUGCUUUCAUCCCCACUCAACAUCCUUCAAAGUACCAAAGCCCAAAUAUUUUUCUUUAAUACCUAGUUUAAUUUUUGGUUGAAUUUUUCUUGUAAUUUUGGAGUAUGCAUUUGGGUUUCUCGAUGUAGCUUUAACAAAAAUUUUUGAAACCUAGGUCUUGUGUGAGAGAUGAAGAAAACACAAAGGAGAUGGAGAAUGAAGUGGCGGCCGCUAGUUCAAAGGAGAUGGAAAUGACCACUAUCCCAGAGCAACAAGUGAUUUGGUAGUCGCCGACAACGGUUUUCAUAGGAAACAAGAUUAUGACUAUAAGGAUCUAUUGAAUGAUUUUAAUGUCCUUGGAGAAUUUUCUAAUGAGGAAUUUGGGGUUUAAAAUUAGGAGGGAGUAUGUGAGAAAACAGUAAUCAGACAGCUGUGGUUGUGAAUCCAUCUUUGUCGACGCCGCCACUGGAUAGUGUAGGAGCAGGAAAGUUGAGGAUAGUGUAGGAGCAGGAAAGUUGAGGCACUUUGUGAGGAAUUCUGCUGAUUGAGAGUCUAGUGGACUGUCCAUCUGCAUCUCCAUCUGGUGGUGGCAGGCUGAUUGGGGAUACGGGGCAGAACGACCGCUCCUGAACGGUCUCCUCACAAGACCCAAAUGUGAGGCGAGAAAUAUUCCACGUCAGGAAGCCUUCAACAGGCCCCAAAAACGACGGCGUUUCAAAAAAAAAAAGUUUAGCCAAAACGGGAACAUGACGGACCAAACGGAAGAGUUUGAAUUUUGAAAAUCAAGUUCAAAAUUUGAAUCAGCCGCAUAAAACAAAACUGAGAGAAAAGAGGAGGUAUCCUGCUGAAAGUAGCAAUUGACAGAAAAGUGGGUGGAGAGAGCUGGGGUAUGGUGUUGAGUGAAUAAGGAAGAAAGCAAACAAAAAAGUGGAGAGCCACACAAAACAAAACUGAGGGAAGAGAGGAGACGUCCUGCUGCAGGUAGCAAUUGACAGAAAAUUGGGUGGAGAGAGUUGGGGUAUGGUGUUGAGUGCAUAAGGAAGAAAGCAAACAGUGCAGUGAGAGUGUUGUAUGCAUUUUGAAGCUGGGUAUGAGAGUGUUGUAUCCAUUUUGAAUGCGUGCAAGGCAGGCGGCAAGGUAGAAGCAAACAGAGGAAAUUAAUCAUCUCACGAAGCCAGAUUUUGUCGUGCAACUUAAUAGCAUAAGCAACUGCGCUCUCCGAGUUCGGUGAAACAUAAAGCGUAUGGUGAAGACCAAGGUAAUGUUACUGAAUACAGUCUGUUAAAUGAGUAAUAUGUAGUUGGUCUAUGCUCAUCAUGCAAUCUUAGUUUGCUCCUCUCCUGACCAUGCAGUGUGUAUAAAAUGAAGACGUAAAGUUCAUUGAGGUGAAGCAGAUGAAAAGACAUAUAUGUGAAUAAUAAAAGGGUGUACCUGGUGUUGUAAGUUAAUUACAUAAUGUAAGAAAUAUAUUACAAUGAGUAGAAAAUACUUUGUUUGGCCCUCAAAAUGUAGAAAUAGUAGAAAAUGCGCAAUUGGCUUAGGCGCUUGUUAUUAACGAAUGAUAUAAGAUCCAGUGAGCUAAAGAACCUAGAACCUAAAUAUAAUCAGCAGAGUGGAUGUACAUACAAUUAAAAUAGAUUUACACCGUGUGACCAAUACGUUACAGUCUAUAUAACUUAGUGUACAUGGAAUUCUAUUAGUACAUAAAUAAUGCCGUUGUCUUAGAAUAAAAGUAAGGUGAUGUGAUUCAUUAAUCGUAUUGAUAAGUGUAAUAAUAGGAUUUGGUAUACGAGUAAUGUGUGAUUCAUAAUACAUUAUGAAUGGUAAUAUACAUUUAUCUUGUCGUUUAUGUACAUACAAUUCAUGAAGUGUUACAAAUUAUGGUGUUUGAUGCAUAAUUGGUAGGAGCAGAAAUAAUGAAUUGCAGCAAAUUGACAGAAGAUAGGAUCCCUGAGUUGGGAAUGGAGUUUAACAGUGAAGAGAAUACGUACAAGUUUUACAACAAAUAUGCCUUUAAAAUGAAUUUUAGUAUACGCAAAAACUAUCUGAAUAAAGAUAAAGAUGGCGUGACCACGUCUAGGAGAUAUAGUUGCUACAAGGAAAGUGUGAAGUGCAAGUACGAAGGUGAUGUGAUGCCAAAGAGGACACGAGCGCCGACGAAAAUGAUCUGAAUGUGGAGGAACGUGAUAAGAUUCAAUUUGUGAAUGAAAUGGGAGAGACAGUAAUCGCAAGAGGAUUUAAAAACUGUACCAGUGGGAAGAGAAGUAAAGUGAUGCGAAGUUGGGUCGAUAAAUUUGACAGAUUAAAAAGAAAAUCUAGAUUGUCAAGAACUACACAGACUACGGUAAGGAUCCAAUAACUAUUAUGGUAAACAUUUAUGCUACAACAAUGUUAUCGUAAUUCCCUAUCUACAAUCCAUAAGUACCAUUCACUAUAAAAUAACAUUAUUGUCGUGUCAAUAAUACAGGUCUCAGAAUCGGAGCCGACAUCGAUUUCAUUUGAUGAACACAUGUUUAUGGGAUGCCGUUCAUCAAUUGACUCAGUUUCGGUUAGUAUAAAAUAAACAUGGCUUUAACUUUUAUUUGGAUGUUUCUUACAGCACAAUUAGUUAUGAUGAUGUUACAUUGUGUGAUGAUUUUGUUACGGCUGACAUCCCUCAUGAUAUACUCUUUUUGUCUGUUUUAUAUAAUUAUUUGGCCCAUACAAAAUUCGUAGAUGCAUUCAAUGAGUUAGUCAGUGAAUGGCCCUCCAAACACUGUUGCUCCCGAAAUCGAGGAAAGUCUAACGGUAUGCAUACAUUUAAUAGAUAAAAUAAGGUCCUUUUUUCGUAUCGUAGAGCUACUUUUUGUUUAAUUGUAAUGGUGGGCACCCGAACGCUAUCGAAGCAUGCAUAUUUUGUAGUUAACAUAUAAUGCUUUAAUGACAUAUUAUUUUGUAUUAUCCGAAAGUCCACCGAUUGGCUAAUCAAGGGCCUCAUGGCAGUGUCCCUACAGAAUGGAUGCACCCCAAAUUUUUUAUAUUUUUCAAACAUAACUCCGUCAGAGAUAUUUUAAUGGUUUGAAAUAUCAUUUUUUAUAGUGUCUAGUCCAAUUUAGCUUUGGAACUGAGCAAUAUAGGCAUUGCUAAUGAGUUGUUGAUAAUUGAAUAAUUAUAUUGUACAACGUAGGCGGAGCGUGCAACAAUUUCAACACACUGUAAUAAGGAUGCAUAUAAUGUAUUUUCACCAUCACCCCAGGUGACAAGCUUUUAUCAUUACCCCAUAUAUAUAUGGUGUCUUGUUAAUUGGAUAUUUCGACAGCGUAUAUCAUUAACCGUAUGUAUCAUUAACUGUAUUGACUGAUUUGUCAUUGUUACGUAUUUCAGGAAAGAAAUAGCACCUUGGGAUUGCGACUAACUAUUGACAUCAACUCCCCUCAGUUGCAGGUUGAUGAAUGAUGUGUACCUACAAUUUUUAUGAAUACAAAACAAUUGGUUAUUCCAAACAAUUGAGUUUGUUGCUCUCCGUCCCCAAGUUCACCUCAUUUACUGAUGUUCGUACUUGUCCAGAAAAGAUAUUGCUCAAUUUCGAUCGGUUCCGUAUUGUAAGCUUGUUUUAAUGUACAAUCUCUCAAUGAAUUAUGCUUGUUGAUUGUAAUUCUAAAAUUACUUCAAACAUUAGGUGUCUAGCACCAGAUUUGCAGUGUCUAGCACCAGAUUUUUCAGACAUGAAGAUGUCUAGAACCAGAUUUGUGGUGUUCGUGGACGAACAUUUACUAAAUGCAGUCAUGUCGUCCCUACCAGGGAAUGCCGCAUAUGUACGUUACAAGAAGUUAAUAAACUGUUACAACUUAUUGAUGUGCUUGUACAGGCACCUUGUCAUGUUCGUCUAUGUUAAAACUUAGAUAUGUGGCUUAUAAUUGUGUUAAUGAUGAGUAUUACAGAUAGUAUUACAGGCACUUCAAUAGGUAUUACUCCUUUAGUACGGAAAUGAAGUUACAAUUGGCGUCUCGGAUUGGUUUCACACGACCACAUGCCAAGUAACAGUUUCGCAAAAGAACAUGAUAUUUCAUUGGGACAACUAAUUUGAAAGUGGGGUAACUAAUAUUUAAAAUGCAACAAAUAGUCAUAACGAGAUGUACAGAUUGAGUUACAACGAGUUACGUGUAUGUUACAAUUCAUUACAACAAUGAAUUGGCAAUCGGCAGCUUUUCGUCUUCUCUAGUUAAAACUAGUGAUUUUACAACUAAUGAUAUUUCCCGAUAUUACAACUAGUGAUACUACAGUUAUUUAACGUCCGAUGAACCUUUCCUCUUCUCUUGUUUGUGCAAUUGCUCUUGGCACCAACAAUAAUUCCUUCUCUCGACACAUUAAAUUUCUUAGACACUUAAUAUAGAGAUGAUCAUUUCGAACCCUACAACAUUACAUGUAGCGAGGCCUUCUCGAACAUUUCAUUAAAAUAGCGAGAUCUUCCCGAACAUUAAGCAAACCUGGAUGCGCUUAAUCGGCUCCCAAGACUUGGUUUAAAACUGAACACUGUAUUGAUGAGACUGUAAUCCUUGUUGUAGGGAGGUUGAAGAUAGCAAAAAAUGAAUCGAGUACACAGAUCCAUUGCCACUUUAAUAUGAAGAGAAAUUUGAAGUGUGAAAUUGAAUAAUAAUACGGACGAAAAUGAAAGGGGGACGAACAAACUGGAGUCUUGUCUGUGUAAGGGAUAUACACCUGCAAGGGGGUUCUUUUAUAGUCCGCAAUACCCUCUAAUAUGGUAAAAUAUCAGACCCCAACAUAUAUGAGACCAACUAGUACAUCACAAGAAUGGAAUCUGUUUACUCAAAUACAGCGCAUGGACCAUACAAUCUUGUUAAGUUCAAUAAACAUAAUAUUUGGAUGUAGCAAGGUGAUUAUGUUACAAGGCUCCGAUGUUACAAUCUCGAAUGCAGUUAUAUUUUUAUCAUACAAGCUUACUGUCACAUGUGCUGGUAGAAUUUACUUGACUGAUUGCAUAAUGGUGCUCUUCUUUGUUGCAUGUGUAGACUUGUGCUUUAUCUCAAUGUCAAGGCCUCCUAAAAUGCGAAGAACAUGUAUUUCAUAUGAUUUCAUAUCUAUUGUUGUGUAACAAAUUGUAAACCAAUUUGUAACAGUUUUCAAACACACUGUAAUUAAUAGUCUUCAAGCACCACUGUAUUAAUUUUCGAACACACUUUAACAUUCUAUUAACUAUUUUAUAACAGUUUUCAAAUACACUGUAAUUUACCAAUAACUAUUUUGUAACACUCUUCAAACACACUGUAACUAAUAGUAACAAUAACAGUUCUGUAUUAAUUUUUAAACACUGUAACACUACAAAAACUAUUUUGUAAUACUCUUCAAACAUACCGUAACUUUCCAAUAACUAUUUUGUAACACUCUUCAAACACACUGUUGCUUCCUUGCUCAGUUGUUGUCAUGGUGGCCCCUUGUUGCAAUCCCUGACUGAUGUUAUCAGGCACAACUGAUGAGGUAUAAAUUGGAUUCUCCAUGUCCAUUACAUCUUCAUUCAGCUCUGGAAGUUCUCUGGUUUCAAUAUUUGCCCUCGUAAUUGCAUCGUUUUCUUCAUACUGCGCUGCAUUAUGCUCAUCUUCUUCAAACCAUUUCUCAUCAAUUUCAUCAGCAUCAUCAUCUUUAUCGUUGCCCCCUUUUUCAGCAGAUUGAAAUUCUAGCUCUUCUUCGGUAUCAGGACUCGUGUACAUUGUAUAGUUCUCAUGUAUAGAUUUUUUUCCUUUGUCCAAUGCUUCAGGCCCAGAAGUGGAAGCUUUUGCUCUCGAAUGAGAAUACAAUAUUUCUGCAAUCUUUAAUAUCCUUCAUUGGUUAUUAACAGCAAUGUUAUACAGCUCAUUUAACUCAGCCUGUAGUUACAUCACAACAUUACCAAUCCAUAAAUGAGCCACUUGCUCUCAAGAAUGGAAAACAAUACAUGUAUAUACAUAUAUGAACAACUUCGUUAGCUUGGCAGAUAGGCUGAUAUUUGAAAGUGAUUCCAAUUUUGGCAUUUUCAAAAUGCCUUCCUGCGAGCAUCAAGGUGACACACAGGGUUGGGGAUUUCAGUUCCAUUACUGAUCCAUUUAUGUUCACGUCGAAGCAAACUUCAAAUCUUGGGUUAAAAAAUAAAUUGGCCGAUACAUGGCAAGAGUAAUUUAAAAACUCACAACUGCUAUGGGUUCAACGAUGUAACGUUCCAUCUUAUUCUUUGCGACACCUUUCCCACCCCAAUUUAGCAGGCGGGCAAACAUGUCAAUGACCUGAUCCUCAAUCGAUUUUUUUCAAUUAAAUAUUAGCAAAUAAAUAAUAUAGAGGUACUGUAUCAUUGGUCACAAGGCAGCUUGGAAAAGUAAGCUAAUCAUGGCCAUCAAAUUUAAAUUCCUAACCCGAUUCGAGACAUGCAUGCCAUUGCCAAGUGUCUUCAAAUCAACGCGUGUUAGGGAGAACUGGAACAUUUGAACCAAUAUGUCCCUACCAUUGCAUUACACAAAAUCUUACAAUAAUUAGUUGGUACAAUAAGCAACUCUGUACAGCUUAAUAAAAUGAUAGAAAAUGCUGAUAUCGGACUAAAGCCUUGGUGAGAAACUUACUUGGGAUUCUUGUUUGGGUCCCAUGCGUAGGCAGCAACCCUUUUCUCAUAUAAGUUAACUGUCACAUGUGCCGGCAGGAUAUACUCGGUCGACCUUAACAUCGUGCUCUUCUUCAUUGCUCGAGUAGGCCUUUGCUCAACUUCCUUCCCUGACACAAUCGAAGACAAGGAUUAAGGAUUUCAGAGCUUGUGUUAUAACUGGAGACUGUAAAAAUGGGUGUUGUGCAUGUAACUUGAGGUCAACGUAUUUGUAAUAACCAAUGAACACUUUGUAACUGUUCAUUAGAUUAUAUAUCUAAUAUAUGCAAGUAAAUUCUCAAAAUACUCUCUAAAACUAUUCUGUAUCGUACAUUUAUUUAUUAACCAUGAAAAUAUAGACAAAAAUAUUUAACCAACCUUGUCGAUUUCGACCAUAUGAACGUAGCCUUCUCGGAGUGUUUGCAUCAAAUGCAGGAUUUUCAUGCUGACUGGGAUUUGACGGUUGUUCCUCUAGACAAUUAUCUUCACCACAUUCACGGCUGUGACUAUUAUGCAGCUCCUGUUGUUGUUGAUCUUCUAUGUUCGCAUGCAGCUUCUUGUUCAUCUCUAAGAAAUCAUUGUUUACUUCAGCUGGACGUCUACUUUCAACACCCGUGACUGUCCUCAUUGGUGUCACAGUGCUCGAAGAUGGGCAAGGACCUUCAUCCGUUUGCUCAUUGUUAUUUGUCACUGUACCUUUACCAUUUCUGUGGUCCUCUCCCUCACUCUGUCCACUCACAUUCAUAGCAUCAUCUGUUGCUCUACCACCUCCUUCACCAUCGCUAGCCUGAAGGUUUUCAUUAUGAUCUUUGGCACCCGCAUCUUCAUUAUCAUCUUUCUCGUUUUCUUCACCAUCAUGUCCUUCUUCUGCAGAUUCAUAUUCAGAUCCUUCUUUGCAAUCGGUAUCCCGGUACAUUGCCACCUUCUGGUCCUUAUUUUUUUCCUCCGUAUACAAUGAUUCGACCAGAUCGCAUGCUGCUUUUCCCUGACGUGCCAUUUCUUUCUCAUAUGUUUUUUUCUCUUUCAGGUACUCCUCUUUUCGCUUCAUCAUGUCUUCCUUACUCAACUCAUUGUAUGCUGCUCGGGCAAUAUUAUUAUACUGCAUUGUAAUAUCACCCACGUUAAACUCAUCUACUUCUUGUGUCCUCACUUAUAUUCCAUAUACUUCUUUCUAAAUAGUAGAUUGCUUGCUUUCUUUAUUAUGAUGGAUAUGCAUACCUCUGUCACCUUCACUCCUUUCGCCAAAACCUUACAUUGAUACUCUUUCCUGCCCACAAAGUCCAGUGAAACAAAUUUAAUACUGCUGUUAAAUAAUGAUUGCUAUUUUCUAUUACCUACAAUCCGACCUGAAUUUCAUCCAUGGAUUCAACGGUGGAAGUGGUUCCGCAAUCUCACUUGUUCCUGCUACCUCCAUUUGCUCAUCUUCAGCUGUGUUUGUGGCCAUUUUUUUCCUUCUUUUCCCUGCCUUCUUCCCACUGCAAUAUGCCGAUAAAUUAUCACCAACUUCACUUUUUGAGUGCUAUACAAAUUGUGAGACACAAACAUUAGCCACUUACAUAUUAAGUGAUUUAGAUGAAGCCUCGGGUUCUUUGCCACCAAACUCUCUUACUGGUUCAUCUCUACCACCUUGGCCACUUGAAGUUCUCGAUCUUUUUCCUGCCAUCUGAACUAAGAGUUAUACAACUGCACUUCAGUUCUAUUAUGCUUCCCAGAUUAUUCUGAAUGCAUUACAAAGUAAUAACAUAUAUAAUACAUCACUCUCAAAUCUCAAUAACAAUACUUUUAAAAAUUUGUAACUUUCCUUCCACACUAUGUUUGCCAAAAUUAACAGUGAGUUAAUUAUUCUACGGGGCAAAUUCCACUUAUGAUCUACUCUCACUCAUUUAUCAUUUUUUACACAAUCGACUUCUUCUUCUAUUUCUUGUUCUACUGUACACAUAUGAGUUAUGUAUCAAUUGUGAGUUACCAAUUAAACAAUUAUGUAAUAUACUAUUUUACAGAGUAGUUCUUAUAUUGUAAUUGCUAAGUCACUGCGUGUUACACUUAUCCAACUUCAUGUUCAGUCACACUAGCGGAGCAAAACUUGUAAUCUUUUUUCCACACUCAGUAUGUCAAACUGAACACUAUAUAAAUCAUUUUUCGUACCUUGUUCAGCUUGUCGUCGGCUGCCCUACCUAUCAACAAUCGACUUCUUCUCUUUAUCCUGUGAUUAUACAAAUAUGAGUUAACUAACAAACAAUAGCUAGAAAGUUCACAAUAUGUUCAUGCAAUUUUACACAACAGUUCUGCUACUGUAACUUCAGAAUCACUGCAUGUAACAGUUAUCCAACCUGCUGUCCAACAUGCCUGGUUAAAAUAACUUGUAACCUUUUUGCCCACAAUGCAUCUAUCAAUCUCAAUGUUAUAUGCAUUCACGCAGCUUAACAAUUUUACUCUGCGUCACUAUUUAUUCAUAUCAAAUGUCUCCUUAUACAACACUCUGAUAUAUACUUAAGGAAACUAUUUUUGUAACACUUUUUUUCGCUUUGUAUGUCACCAUCAAUAACAUGUACAAACCACAAACAAACAAACUAUAAUCCGCCCACAACCAUUGCUAGCCAACAAAAUCUGCAAUAAGUUCAAAGCAAUAACUAGUACAAAUGUUAUAUUAUUACCCAAGCAAUUCCACAUUCCAUUCACACGAUUUUGCAAACACUUGGCGUACUAAGUUUUCUGCACCUGUCCUCCUCAGUGUUGGCCACCAAAUUACAUACCUUAUACUAUUUAGUACCAAUAAACAUUCUGUUCUAUCAAAAUCAUUAAAGAUCAAUUAACCUAUUCAUUUAUGACGUUAACAACAACUCACAUCGCUGCACCACCUUGUUAAGUUUCGAAAGUGAUGUCAUAACAUUGUUGUUUUGUUACCUGGGUGUUUCCUACUUUUUCUCUUCUCCAGAUGCCCCAACGUUCCACUUUACAAUUUUGAUUCACUUUUACCAAGCCCUUCCAGAUUUCAAACCGUGACAACUCUGCAUGUUGGAUUGCUCCUUCAUCACAAAUGUAUUUUUCCCUACUUUCCCCUUUCCCUAGUUUGCCCCAGCCACUUUCUUGCCUGUAGCCACUUGCUUGUUCUGCCUCCAGCCACUUUCUUAUUUUCUCUUUUUGCUUCCGUUUUCUAGUGUUCUGUGUGACUGAAAUUUGGCAAUAGUCAGUGUGGAGGGAAACCAAAAGACUUUUGUGUUUGACGAUGCAUUUGUGUUUGACGCUUUGUUUGCGCGGGAUUUUGUUGAUUGGAGCUGACGCUUCAUGACGGGCUCCGUUAGUAGCUUCAUUUUCUUUUUCCCAUUACUAAUUGAAACACUGUCGUUUUUGCCGCUUCCCAAAACUGUUCGACAUGGCUCGUUGUGGUCCUUUCGUCUACCAUUGUGAGAGGACCGUUCAGGAGCGGUCGGCCUGACGACCGCUCCUGCCCCGUAUCCGGCUGAUUGGUGCCUUUGGAGAGACGGGGAAAGGGGAGACGCUGGGGAGAGACUAGAGAGUCAACUAAAAAAAUUUAAUUUCAUAUGUAUGAAGUGCCAAAAUUGCCCUGCGCCUUGCCGUGUAUAUUGCUAAUUUUGCAUAUUAGGAGCAAUUAUCGACCAAAUGAUCAUAGGUUUAUUGAUUAAGUUAUUUAGUAGUUAAUUACUGGCGAAAAAUAGUUUGAUGGCUAAAACAUGAUUCGGCUAAUAGAUUAGUGGCUGUUGAGGUUUUUUGCCCAGCAUAAAAAUGUCCUGGGUGCAGGAAAUCAUUCUGAUUUUUUUGCCAAAAUAAUCUUCCGUUCAUAUAAUACUCCCAAACUUGAUGAUGCAAUUUACAACUUUAUUCCCUUUAUAGUUUAUAUAUUGCAAUAUAUACACGCGCAGAAUGGAAAACUAAUCCCAAAUCUUAUAUUUCUAUUUUUCACGAGGAUCCCUCUCUGUUACAUUAAUCAUUUUGCUUCUACUCUCAUUAUUUUUAUUUUUAAUAAAUGAACAAGAUAGACAGUUGGUAUUUUCUUAAAAUGCAAUGGCUAUUCUUUCAAAAAAAAAUCAAUGGUUAACAAGUCUUGACUCGUAUAUUAUGUUAUUCUUUUUUGUUAGGAUGUCUUGGGUUCCUCCGACCUUGCUACCCAACCCAACUCUACUCCCUACAUUAUGUUAUUCUUGAUAUUAUUGAGGCUAAAUUCUUAUUCUAGUAAUUAUGGUUUUCAAAUGCAAGAGAUUUUUCUUCACUUCUUUUCGCUUUUGGCAUGGAAUUAUUUUAUGUCAAAUUCAACUUUGAUCAUUUUUUUUGUCCAGAAUUUAUGUGCACGUGUUCUAAUAUAAAAUACUACAAAAAUACUAAAAUGACAAAAAAUACUAAAAUCGGAACUUUAUCAUACACAUAAUUACAAAAAACAAGGGAAAAAGGAAAGGAAUUGCAAUAUAAUAGUUAAGCAAAAUUCUAUGGCUCGUGUUCUAAUUAAUAUUCACUUCAAUUAUUUGUUUAGUUAAUUUUCUAAAAAAAUUCCUCUAUUUAAUCAAAAUAUUAAAAUUCAAUAUAGCUAUUAUUUCUGCUAAAUUAUUUUUUAAAGUACAUUAACAUCCUAGAUUCAACUAAACAAAUAUCAUGCCUAUUCAUUAAAUUGUUACUCUCUGUAAAUCCGUCCCUGAUCCCUUUACCUUUUCAUUUUCAAGAAAAAUGGUUUCACCUUUGUAUUCAAUGAGACUAUGACAUCACAUUAUCACAUAGCGGCAAAUGAACCCAUAUUAAGUGCAUAACUUCUUAAAGUACAAAUUUAUUUAAGCAAUAAACUUAUAGUAAUAGGUUACCAAAACUUUCCUUAAUACUGAUGAAGUAUGGUAGCAUAGAUGCCACUGUUUGCUCUUCUGUUGCACAAGAGCCUUUCCCAUGCUGGAAUAUACUAAGUUUUUUUUCCCCUCAAAUUACAAUUGGUCUGUCUAACGGGUCCUCAAAGGGUAUUCAUUAAAAUAUAUUUCAGAUAUUAUAUUUUUGAAAAUAUAAGAUUAAUUAAAAAAAGUAAAUAAAUACAAGAGAAGGUAGGCAAUAAUAAAUAGAGAAAGUAUAUAAAUGCAAAGAAGGAUAAUAAUUGUUAGUAUGUGUAUAUAUAUUGUAGAUUAGGUGAAUAUUAGAUGUGAUGGAUGUUUUAAGGGACAAUAUAAGUCAAUCAAUAACAAAAAGGAAAAUGUAACAUGAGCUAAGUUUUAAAUAAUACAUGAAAAUUUUCGAACUCUCACACAAUUCAUGAAUUCUUCUCUUCAGUUUUGUAUAGUAGGAGUAAUCUGCAUCACAUAGAUUCGUCUACAUUCAUGUAAGAUUCUAUGUUGGCCAAGAAAAAAACAAAACGAUUCUAUGUUGUGUUCUUACACUAUACUUAAUUUGCACUAAACUUUGUUAUGUUCUUACACUAUGCUUUGUUUCUGCUGCUUUGUUUGGAUUGAAGAUAUUUUGAAAAUUUUAUUCCAAUAUUACUUAACGUUAGCUUUUUUUAAUGCAAUAUAUGCGAGAUAAUAAAAAAUAAUGUAUGCAAGGUAAUAAAAUUGAAAUGUAACUGAAAUUAUUAAGUUCCUACCUAAAUAUAUAUGUUGAAUCCAAAUUUAGGAUUCUAAUAAUAAUUGGAGCGUGUAGGGUUACAUAAUUGAAGGAAUAAAAUAAUCACUCAAAUUAUGUAUGUGGGAGAGAAGAAAUAAAUAACUCACAAUAUUAUUGAUAUUUCAAAAUAAUGGAAGAAAGUCAUAUCAUAAGAUAACCUAAUAGAUGCUCUUAGAUACUCUUAAAAAAAUAUCACAACUAAUCCUUCAUUUAUAACCAUCUACAUUUGUUAGAUAAGAAACUACUUACAUCAACAUAUACUUCUAAAUAACACAACUACUAAAACCUAACUCUAAUAAAACUAGUAAAUAAAUAAAUAAAUACUUCUAAGUUUAAUUUAUUUUGCCAACAGUGCCUGCUUUAAACUAAACUCUUCAUUAAGACAAGUCCAACCCCAUCUUGAACAACCAACAUUAUUGAAAAUUCUGUUGCCAUAGAGACGGUGUGCAAUACCUUAAAAUUAAUUUUCAUGUUUACUCAUGGUAAUGGACGACUUUAUAUUUUGCAAAUAAUUUCACAGCAAUUUCUUCCCAAUCAAAACAGUCAUUCAAACCCAUUUAUCACCAGAGUCACCAUAUUUAUAAUCAAAUAUAAGUGCCUAAGAAUAUAAAAUCAUAAAUUUCUUUCUUGCUAAAAUGAUCACUACUACCAAAUAAUUCAGAAACCUUACUAUCAUAAUUAGUAAAAAAAAAAUUGACACUAUCAAUAAAUUCUUUAAUAGCAAAAUAUUUUUCAACUUCAAUAAAAUCCAUAUCUAUUAAAUCAAACAUCUUCCCUUCACCUUGAAGAAAGUCCGAGCCAACAAAUUUUCCAACAAUAAUUUCAUUUUCUUUACUUACCAAAUCAAAAUUUUCUUCUUCUUUUACUAAAUCAAUGAAUUCUUUUUCUUCAACAAAUUCAGUACUCCCAAUUUCUCUAAACAAAGUAUGCAAAUAAAAAAUCUUUAAAAAUUCAAAAUUUUAAAAUUACUCAUAUCAUCAACAAAUCUAUUAUUUUCAAAAUCUACAACCUAAUACUAACAAUCAAAUUUCAAUUUGAAAGUAUAUUUCUUCUCAAUAGUCUACAAAACUUAAUAAAUCCAAAAUCUCCAAGGGAUUUUAGUACAAUGAACAAAAGUUUUGUAAAUACUUUCUGCCAUUAUUUUAUGCAUCACUUAAAAGAAUAAUCGAGCCUUUAUCUUGAAAACAUGUUUUGGGAACUCACUUGCAAAAAUUCAACAAAGAAAAUCAUUCAAAUUAUAUUGUUCUAGAUAUUUUUCCACUUUUAUAACUUAACUAAAAUAUACAUAACUAUUUGUACUUAUAGAAGUUAAUAUAGCAAAUUUUUCACUAUCAAUCAAAUUUCUAUAAAAUUCUAUCAUUAUUUAACAAUUCAUAUGCCUGAAUAAAUUUUCCUCUCCCUUCUAUCUAGUUUUCCUAGUCUAUCCUGCUGAUUAAUUAAUCAAAUCUUUCAAUUGGACAAUCCGCUACAAUCAACAAAUUUGAUGAGAUUCUUCUCUAAUCUUUGUCAUAACACCCGUAACAAUUUGAUAAUUUUCAGACCAAUCUUAUAGUCAAAUUCUUCACCUAUUACAAACUUUAGGACGAACUUCGUGGUUUAACUUGAUCAACUAUAUACUCCCUAACAACUUUAUGGCCUAACUCUAUAAUAGUGGAAAUGUAGGGCUAACCUCUGAUACCA